ACUUCUUUCUACCAUAACUUUCAUUCUACAACUCCAAUUCUUGCGCCGCUUUCGCCUUUAGGAUCGUAUGAACGAGCUCUACAAGAUAAGUGUGUUUUGGGAGAAUGGUGGUCACUACUAGGCUGCUCAUUGAAGGUUGAGGAUUACUUUGGAGCUGUUAAGGUGAAGAAUCUACCUUGGGCUGAACCUACAGAGAACUCAGAGUAAUUUUGGGUUGAAGUGGAAGUUGGGUACAUCUUUCAUAAGUGCAGCCAUCACCGGAGAAAAAUAAGCAAACUUAUGCUUGAGGUGUUGCCCAACCUAGAAAAGAAGAAGCAUUAACCAGCAGAUAUUGAAAAUGAAGCUUGGAGUGCCGCACCAAGCUUUUAAGCAAGCUCAUGGAUUGAAUAAAUGAAUAAGAAAAUGGGUGUAGCCAAUAAAGAAGAGGAGUCUACAACACUAUAGAGGGAAUUGUAUAGACAAAGGCAAAUGGAGGAUAAUAAAUAAAUGUAUGGCUAUCUGAUUGUGGGCUGACGGCAAGUGGUGAGAAUUUGUCUAUUCAUGGAAAAAUACGAUGCAACAAGAGCAGUU